rnacentral:misc_RNA from 1 species
GGAAAAUAGAAUCAGAUCCAGCAGUUCCGGCAUUAUCAUCAGCAUCUUCCUGGAAGAACGCACCCUUGUGGUAAUAUUUCUGCAUAAACUUCCACUUCUGCUUAGGUGGUGGAGCAGUUUUUGGAUUCUUCCUCUCCCAUUCUCUCCUCUCUUCCUCAGUCAUAUUUCUCACCUUCUCAAUCUCCUCCCUCUCCUUCAACAUUGCAUCUCGGAGUUCUCUAUCCCUCUUGAUCCUAGCAAUCUCCCUAACCUUCCAAGCCUCAUAUUCUUCUGCUUCAUUAAUUUCAUCAUCAGUGUCCACAUCUGCAAUAUUUGCCUCCAUUUCCAA